UACGGAGGGUGCAAGCGUUAUUCGGAAUUAUUGGGCGUAAAGGGCGCGUAGGCGGCCUCUUAAGUCAGAUGUGAAAGCCCGGGGCUUAACCCCGGAAGUGCAUUUGAAACUAAGGGGCUUGAGUAUGGGAGAGGGGAGUGGAAUUCCUGGUGUAGAGGUGAAAUUCGUAGAUAUCAGGAGGAACACCGGUGGCGAAGGCGACUUCCUGGACCAAUACUGACGCUGAGGCGCGAAGGCGUGGGGAGCAAACAGGAUUAGAUACCCGGGUAGUCC
rnacentral:rRNA from 1 species